rnacentral:rRNA from 1 species
CACGGGGGGAGCAAGCGUUGUUCGGAUUCAUUGGGCGUAAAGGGCUCGUAGGUGGCUUUGUAAGUCGGAGGUGAAAUCCCACGGCUCAACCGUGGACACGCCUUCGAAACUGUGAAGCUUGAGGCUGGGAGAGGAGAUCGGAAUUCCUGGUGUAGCGGUGAAAUGCGUAGAUAUCUGGAGGAACACCGGUGGCGAAGGCGGCAUCCUGGACCGGCAUUGACGCUGAGGCGCGAAAGCCAGGGGAGCAAACGGG